UACGGAGGAUCCAAGCGUUAUCCGGAUUUAUUGGGUUUAAAGGGUGCGUAGGCGGAUUGAUAAGUUAGAGGUGAAAUGUCCGAGCUCAACUCGGGAACUGCCUCUAAUACUGUUGAUCUAGAGAGUAGAUGCGGUAGGCGGAAUGUAUGGUGUAGCGGUGAAAUGCUUAGAGAUCAUACAGAACACCGAUUGUGAAGGCAGCUUACCAAACUAUAUCUGACGUUGAGGCACGAAAGCGUGGGUAGCAAACAGG
rnacentral:rRNA from 1 species